UAUAGCUCAGUGGUAGAGCAUGUGCUUAGUGUGCAUGAUGUCCUGGGUUCAAUUCCUAGUA
rnacentral:tRNA from 1 species